AGUGUCGUGGUGUACGUGUACCAUUGUGGACACUCAGGCGUUGGCAGCGAGUGGCGGCACAACAGCGUAAUCAAGCGCGAGUCAGUGUAGCGUUGACUGAGGCUGUGACGCGGGAAGAUUAACGCUAGACUAACACAGCUGUCUGUAUCGCACCUUGUGUUUACUGUUAGCGUGUGGCGGGAAGCAGGACAGAUCGCCAGCCCAGUGAGAUGAGGCAGGAGAGUCGGCAAGACGAAGGUGGAGGCGGCGAAGGUGGUGGAGGUAGUGUCAGCGUCUGCGUUCCCACUGUGUCAGAAAACGUACCUGAGAUAAACCAUUCAGAACUUGUCAAACCCAAUAUCAAUGAUGACGUGGAUGAAGGCGAAGAAUAUGAGGUGGCCAUCACAGCAACAGGUUACGGAUCCUUCCAGUACUGGCUGAUCCUGCUCGGCGGCUUUGCCAAUGCCAGCGAUGCAAUAGAGAUCUUGUGUGUGUCUAUCCUCCUGCCGGCUGCCGAAUGUGACCUCCACAUGACCUCUGAGGACAAGGGUUGGCUCAGCGCUAUUGCCUUUGUUGGCAUGAUGGUCGGGGGUUAUGUGUGGGGCUGCCUCGGGGACAUCUACGGUAGACGCAAUGUGCUCAUGGUGUCCCUGGUACUGAACGCCCUGUCCGGCCUUGGUUCCUCCUUCGUGCAGACCUUCCCGUCCUUCCUCGUUUUACGCCUCAUAUCCGGCCUUGGUGUGGGUGGCAGCAUCCCUUUGGUGUGGGCGUACAUCAGUGAGUUCCAGCCACCUUCCAAACGAGGAAGGGCACUCAGCAUCAUUGCUUCCUUCUGGAUGGUCGGGAACGUCCUGGUGGCAGUGUUUGCACUGGUGACAAUUCCUUAUGAUAUUGGGUUCCGAGCUCCUGGAUUUGUGUACAACUCCUGGCGUGUGUUCCUCACUGUGUGUGCUCUCCCUGCACUCAUAACUGCCAUUGCAAUGCUGUGGUUGCCUGAAUCUCCAAUGUUUCUGCUGAUCAAGGACCGCAAGGAUGAAGCGCUUGAUAUCCUGCGGAAUAUGUAUGCUCUCAACACUGGCAAGCCGCUGUACACUUUUCCUAUUAAAUCAUUAAGCACAGCAGGCUUGAAGGUGCAGAAAGAAACAAGCCUUACCAAGUGGGGCACCUUCACCUCAACCAUCCUUCAGACUUGGCGUCUUACCAAGGCCUUGUUCAGCAGAUCUCUCAUCUUUACCUCAACUAUAAUGAUCAUCAUUAACUUCACCAUACAGUUUGGGUAUUAUGGUCUUUGGAUGUGGUUCCCAGAGUUGUUCAACCGCCUUGAACAAUACUACAAUGAUCAUCCAUAUCAUAAUGUAAGUGUGUGUGACUUGACUAAGUACCAUGGAAACACCACUCAGCAAAACACCUGUGAAGAAGAUGAUGGACACCCUGUUGACACCAGUGCCCUCAUCAGCAUCCUCAUCACAUCCAUUGCUCCUCUGCCAGCCAACUUGUGGACUGUACUUUGCAUGGAUAAACUUGGAAGGAAGUUCUUCCUGGUGCUCAGCAUGCUGCUGUCUGGAGUUGCAGCAUUUGGUGUCUAUCUUGUGAAGUCAUCCCUUGACAACCUGAUCCUUGCCUGUGUGUUUGGGGCUGUGUGCACUAUGGGCUUCAAUGCUUUGGACUGCCUUGGUGCUGAGCUCUUCCCAACACACCUCAGGUCAACUGCUCUUGCUGUUACACUCAUAUCAGCACGGUUAGGAGCCAUUUUGGGGACUGUAACCUUUGGCUAUUUUGUGGAUUUGUACUGUGCCAUCCCACUGCUUCUAGUCGCAGCCUUUCUAAUAUUUGGAGGCUUCUUGGGACUCGUCUUGCCCAACACCACCCGCACUGCCCUCAUGUGAGCUACACCACCACCUGCACCGCCCUCAUUUCUGUUACUUACUGGUAGGCAGCAAAUAGUGCUAGCAAAAUGAGGCUGGCCAAGAGAAGUCAGAUCCAGAAAAGCUAUAAGUACAAAUUUACUGCUUGAACUUCAGCCACAUUUGAUAAGUAACUCAAUUUUUUUAUUUCUUGAUUUAUAGUAUCAAAAAGAAAGUUCUGAAUUAUUUUGCUAAAGAGGUUGCUGUGUAUUCUUAGCCAGGAUGGCAUCUCUUGUAGAAACACUUAUAGGAAAUGCAUGUCUGGGUGUGCAGGAACCUUAGAAAUGUAAUGGAUGUUAAUGAAUAACUUUAAAGAUGUGUAUGUUUUUAUAUUUGCAGUUUUUAGAAUACUUAAUUAAGGGAACAUUCAUGUGGAAUUGAAAGCUUAAUAUUCCAUUUCUUAUAACAUAGUUAGGAAAAUAUUUUGGUUACUGGAAUUUUGUAAAGAAUUAAAAGAUAGUUUUUUUUUAAUAUAACAGCUGUGUAAUAAAGAAAAAAAUUAUUAUUAUGAGAGUAUGUAAGGUUCAAGGGACCAAGCAUGUAAGUAACAAACCAUUAAGUAGCAGCCAGCAGUGAGCAGAUCAGGCUCAGCCGUCACACCCAACACUGAGUGCUGCAGACACAUCCGUGAUGGGUGGCUGUGCUGCUGCCACCGGUGUUGGGUGCACCAGCAUGUGGAGGCUCAAUGACACUUACACAUACUGAUCCUUGAACCUGCAAUUUUAUUAACUAUGAACUUCCAUUCAAUACAAAAUGAACAUUAUUGGUGGAACUACACAGUGAAAUAGAUAUUCUUCACCUGGUCACAGCUUGAUAUGAUGAAGUGUGCCUACAUAGAAGCAGACUGACCAUCACUAUCAGGCAUCAAAUAUCCAGCAUGGUGAGUGCCUGACUGUUUACUUUUCACUGGACUGUACUGGACUGUUUAGUUUGCACAGGACCAUAAUGUUUUGUUUUACCCCUAGAUGUAAGUGUUUGUCAAUAUCUCUCAGAAGGAGAUGACUGAUAUAACUCUAAAUUUUUUCCCAGAUGUAGAAGUUUGAGGGUUGGCAGAAAUUAGACAAGUUUGUGGAUUCCUUUCCAUUGUGUAGUCAGGGCAAAAGCCAGAAGUGAGUCCAUCAGGGCAGGAUGUGUGUGCAUGACAAACUGUGUGAUUUGUUUUUGUUGUAUGUCGAAUUUAGUAACAAGAAUUAUAUACAGAUAUACGUAUGUACACAUAAUUUGUUGAGAUAUAGAAAAUUUAUAUAUGCAUAUUUUGUAAUAUUCUUUAAUAUAUCUAUGGAUAUUGAAAAUAUUAAAAUGAUUAAAUAAA
rnacentral:misc_RNA from 1 species